rnacentral:rRNA from 1 species
UAACACCUGGAAACAGAUGCUAAUACCGGAUAACAACAGAUGAUGCCUAUCAACUGUUUAAAAGAUGGUUCUGCUAUCACUCUUGGAUGGACCUGCGGUGCAUUAGCUAGUUGUAGGGUAACGGCCUACCAAGGCGAUGAUGCAUAGCCGAGUUGAGAGACUGAUCGGCCACAUUGGGACUGAGACACGGCCCAAACUCCUACGGGAGGCAGCAGCA